GAGUCUAAUGCUGUUUCAUCUGUUGGCAUGGUACCCCGUUAUUGUAUUGCUUCCACAGAAAGAUACGCUCCAUUACCAUGUUCUACCUCAACUGGGAUAAAUUGACCAAACUUUGCACUGAAAUGAUCAAAACUAAAUCAUCAAAAUAAAGAAAUUAAUAUAGAUGAAAAUCUCUAUCCACUAGUGAAUGGUAAAGAAAUCUCACAGCUUGGAAUUUCCACUUUAUUUUAAAGUGGUGCCAUAUUGGAGGGAGGGAGGAGAAUUGAUUUGAAGGACAUCUGGCGUGACUGGAUUAACGUUUUCAUUUUGAAGAGUCAAAAGAAUCAGGCCUGAAAUCACCAUAUGACAUAAUGAAGCCCCUGCUGUAGCAGGACACAAAAUUUUUCCACCAGUAUUGGGAGGCUAGCAGUUACCAUUGUACUUCCUCACAAUAUUCCCAACAUAGCAUUGUGGGAAAUAAAAAUAGCACCCACCUGCAGUGUCUUGAAAUAUAUUUACGAACCCAAUCCUUUCUGCAUUUUAUUGUAUUGAACUGUAAUGGUUUUAGCUGGCAUUGUUACCACUUGAUGUAUGUAUGCACCAUACUGGGAUGCUGUAAUAUAUUUGUCCCAUGGUAUAAAUAUUGAGUAAAUAAUAAUAAUAACAAUUUUAUUUUUGUAUCCUGCCUCUUCUCGAAGGGACUCAGGGCGGCUUAUAUGGGGAAUAUGCCCAAUUCAACAACAAAUUAAAACCAACAUAGAUUAAAACAUAGCUUGAUAAAAUCAAUAACAUACAAUUAAAUAUUGGGGGGGGGGGACAGACAGACAAUAGUGCAAUAUAUUCUCAAAUAGGACUGGAGGACAAAAUGAAUAAGAAUAUUAAAUUAGAACUGAAGGAACAAUGUCAUUUAAUGCUAAACCUAUAGGACAAAGGACAGGGAUAAAGUGCAAGGACUGAUGGUGGUUAUAGUUGGGGCUGAAUUUCCUAUGACUGUUUAAUUGAAAACACAAUGGAACAUCCACGUUUUUAGAUCUUUGCGGAUUGUGGACAAGGUGGGUGCUGCUCUAAUCUCCCUGGGAAGAGAGUUCCAGAGCCGGGGCUCCCUCCCUCAUCUCCCACCAAGCGUGCUUGAGACAGUGAUGGAAGCGAAAGAAAGGCCUCUCCCGCAGAUCUAAGAGCCUGUGCGGGUUCAUAGGGGAAGAUGCGAUCAUGAAGAUAGGCAGGCCCUUGAAUUGAGCCUGGAAACUUAUCAGCAGGCAAUGGAGCAGUUUAAAUGGGGCUUGACCGCUCCCUGUAACUUGCUCCAGUUAAUAACCUGACAGCUGAUCUUCGUACCAGCUGUAAUUUUCAAACCAUCUUCAAAGGCAGCUCCACAUAAAGCGCAUUACAGUAGUCCAAUCUAGAAGUAACUAAGGCAUGGAUCACCAUGGCCAAGUCAGACUUCACGAGGUACGGUCGCAGUUGCCGCACAGGUUUUAAUUGUGCGAAGUCCCUCCCGGCCACUGCCGACACCUGAGCAUCAAGCGUCAGUGCUGAGUCCAGGAGGACCCCAUUUAUAAAUCUGGCAUUUAUAGAUUUUAUUAAUAUUCAUUCCUUUUCUGUGAUGUAUCUUAACAAGCUUUAUUGUAACCCAUUGCCUCUAGAAGUCACUUAAGCCAUUGAAAGAAGUCUACCUUUGUGCAAUUAAGGCAUCGUGGUCUCAAAUUAAAUGCACUUCCUUCUGGAAGGCUUCAAAAUUUGUUAGAGAGUUAUCUCAACAACCAAAACCUUAAAGAACAAUUAAUUAUCAAGACAAAUCAGUGACCUGGGUAAGAAAAGCAUUAUGAACUGAAAAACUUAAGUGUUAACCCUGAAUCCUACUUUGAGUCCCAGUAAUAUAAAUAAUUAAAGGCCAGUGUAAAUAAAGACUAUGAUGAUGAUGAUGAUUCUGCAAGAACAUGAAAGAUCUGCAGCUGAGGUGGGUGAAAUCAUUCACAGAACAACUCCCCAUUCGACAACCCACUAAACUGGGCAGUAUGGAAGAGUAGCAAGAGGAAAGCCAUAGCUGAAGAAAACUCUUAUCAACAUGAAACGUAGCAGACAUGUAGAAAAAGGUUAUGUGAUCUUGCUAAGUAAAAAAUGACUUUUUCUCUCUUGUCCAAAAUACUAUGUGGUGCCACGUAAACAGUGCUUAUUAACCCUACACCACCACCCUUCUAUGAAGCACUCUGUUGUGGGGAUAUUUGUCCUUGGCAGGAGCUGGGAGACUGGACAGAGUUGAGGACAAUAUUGCUUUAUUUAUUGGGGGGCGCUGAAAAGGUCUGGAUUGAGAGCACAGAGGUGCACUUUUCAACAGGGUAUUAACUGUAAACACAUCACUGAAACAAAUGCUGGAGUGCUUUAAAAACUAGUACAAAGCCCAGACCUCACUUCUACUUAGAUUCUGUGACAAGACUUGAAGGUUUCUGCUUAUUAAAAGUCCCAUCUAAGCUGAUAUUGCUGGAGCAGUUUUGCAAAGAGGAAUGAGCAAACAUAGAUUCCAAAUAGAGACUUUCCUCAGAAGACUUGCACUUGCCAUUGCUGCUAAAUGUUCUGCCACCAAAUGAUAACCUGGGGCAGAGGUGAGCUGGUGAAUAUUUAUGCAACUAACAAGUAGAAGUUUGCUUUUGUUUACUUAAUGUAUGUGCCUCAAUAAAAAUAUUGUCACUGUCAUAAUUUUCAGCAUCUUGGGUAUCUCAAGUAGUAACAGUGGCAAUUAAAUCUGUAUCAUUUCCAGGCAAUGACACAACAAAACACAGAGAAACUAAAGGUGGGGCGCACACAUACAUCUGCAACAAACUGUAAAGCAAAUAGCUAAUAUUUUAGGAAUAAUGGUAAAUUCUUGUCUUGUUGUUUCUCUGGUUGUAUCUUGCGAGGAGAUAAUAACUUGGUGCCCUUCUCAUAAAGCCUGAGACUUCGUUGUGUGUUGGAGUCCAACUCUACAUGGAUGUAAUCAGUUCUACACAAGGAUUCUGACAACAGGGAAGAAGUAGCAGUAAACCUCUCAAUUUUUGAAAGCACCUUCAAAGAGGACUAAAGCAAACUUCUUCCUCUUUUUCAGUACUGAAGUCUGAAGAUUCAGGGUUGUAUUUAAAUUAAUACAAAGCUAUUUUUCCACAUUGCAGUACUUGUGAAAGUUUGGUCUGAUAACAUCUCUCUCCACCUGUCUCUUUUUCCUUUCUAUUUCUCCCCCAUCCAUGGCUUUCUGUGAUUUUCCAAGUGAACUUUGAUAACAUUAUCAAAGAUCUUGGGGCUUUCUACACUUGUCACUGUGGAAGCUAUUGUUGCUCUGAAAAAAAUCAAUGCGUUUACAGAGCUCGAGAGAAUGUUAAGCGCAUUUAAGGUGUUUUUAGAUUUCUUGCAGGAAAUUCCUCUCUUCCCUCCUUCUGAAGGGAUGGAAAUAUUUUAGUGAAGUCAAUAACUGCCUGAAGCACAGCUUGCCCAGCAGUGACAGCAGCAACAGCUGUUGGUGGAGGAAAAGCUAUGAAAUAAACUUUCUUGCUCUCAUCUCCUUCUGGGAGGAUUGGGGAGAAGGGGGACUGGGAUGCAUGGGAAAACAAUAAGACUUUAGAGUUUGAAUGUUUCAGAACAAAAACCAGAGAAGACAGUUUCAAGUUGACUUGAUCCUUAAAGAAAUCUUGGGUAGAAUAUCUAUUUUUAACAAAUUUUUGAUACACAGCCACAGUCUUUUAGUCAUAAAAGUCUUGCUUUAGAGUUGGAGGUUGAUUUUGGUGCCAUGUCAAGAUGAAAAGUGAUAGCUUGGCAUUCUCUGGAGCCGGAGAUGCUUAUUUAAAGCCAGACUAAACGGAUUCACAUUUUUUGCAAGUGGGCUUGCAGGCAGGCAGUUUGUUUAACAUGAUCUGCUCUUUCACCCCUCCGAGGAAGCUUCUGGAGAUUUUGGCCAUGGUUCCAACACAGGCAGAGCGAAGUGUGACUUAGUUUUCUAGAUGUAGUGGUGUUUUGCCCCAUGGGGAUUGCCAGAAGGGCUCUGAGAACCCCUCCAUGUCUCAUAUUGUUACCAGUAGCUUCCAGUCUUGAGAUUGUAAUCCCUACAGGCAUCCAUGGGACAUGCCCGUUCUUUUCCAUCUGUGGGUGGACUUGUGGUAGAAUUUCUUCAUACUUUUGCCUUCUCUCCUAGCUGUAGACAUCCUUACUCAGGCAUCUUGUACAGUGGGACCAAGAUUUCAUUCUAGGUCAGUGAAUGGAAGUGGAAACCACAGUUUCUUGUAUCAUCCAGGCAGGUGCAUCUAAAUUUUCCAGUAUUUCUCUCACAUUACCAUCUUAAGUUUGUAACUUCCAAAGAUUUUCCCCCACACAGGUUGAAAACAAUGAUCACUCUUCCACAGAAAUGUGAAAAAAACACAUUUUUUAAAAAUAGGUUUUAGAGUGAGGGUUGAGCUUUCAAAUGGGCCAAUCUAUUAGAAAGUCUCUGUUAAGAUAGAGCUCAGCUGUAAUCACAUUUUAAGGAUUGAUGAGCUACCUACUUUGCAGUAUCAUAAAAUGACUGUUGUUAGCAUAGGGCAAAAGAAAAUCAGGACCAAGGAGUAUAAAUAGCAACACAGUUGGAUGUCUUUAUGGCAGCAAACAGGAAGGAGAGAGGAGAUAUAUGUGUGCAUUGUUCUUAGUCUGAGUUCCUCAGGAACAUAGUCAUUUGUCCAGGUGUUUUCCAUCAUAUAUUAGAAGACAGUCCAUUUCAAAGGAAGGUUGAUUUCAGAAACAAAGUUUAUGACUUAUUACCUUAAACAACAUUGGCAAGUAUUAAUGUAUAACAGAACCAUGUGCCUUCAAUCACGUUCCUUACAUGCAGUACUCUGGCAUUACAUUUUUGCUUUGCUGCAAAAACAAGCUUCAAAUAAAACCGAGUUUAUGGGAAAAGGUUUCUUCUUUUUUUUAUGGGGGAUUUCAAAAUCAUGUGAAAGAUUCUUUCAAAUGUUAUAAAAUCAGGCCUUGCUUGCUAUUCGUAGAAUUGCUGUUUGCAGACUUUCCGUGAUGUCUAAACCACUUUUCCCCCUAUAAAGAUGAAGCAGUUACAUAGCUGGCCCUCAAAGAGUUUCUCCAUCCUUUCCUGAAACAGAGAGUGACUAUCCUGGGCCCAUUGAAUAAGGACUCCCAUGUUUAUAAAGGAGCAAAGGCUUCACAGUGCUCUCCAUGCUUAAUAAAAGGGUAGAUUGUUUGGAUUGAUUUUGUGCCAUCUGAAAAUAGUCACACAAAGCCUUCAUGCCAAACAAACCUUGGAAAAUCCCAUCUCUAACCUAUAAGAGAGGUUUUGCCGCUCAGUAGGGAUGUAUAACUUAACAUGUAUCCUAGUAACUGUUCCUCUCGUCCCCCUCUGGCUUGCACUCUAUGGGAGUGGUGUCUCAUAGUUCCUAAGGUAACAGGUGAGCAAGGAGGUAAGAGUAAGUUGGCUUAUGGCAACAAUAAAUGAGUGAAGUAAUUGCAUGUUACCUCAUUUUUCCACUGAAACAUUUGGAAUCUUAGGCUUAAAGUGAGUUUCUUCCACCCAAUCUCUGUGUUUUAAUUUGCCUAAAUGGAAAUGGCACUUGGACCCUCUUUAAUGUCUUUUCAGAAUGGAGUGGCAGCAUAAAUGCUUCUGUGAAAUUGAAAACGAAGGCCACAGAGGGUUAGGCAGCCCUGUGCUCUGUUGUGCUAAUGCUGUCACUCUUGACAGUGAUUUACAUUUGAAAUUCCUAGAGGGUAAAAGAGCCAGACAGAGAUCUAGAAGCCACAAACAGGAGGCAACAGCACAUUAUGACAUAUUUAGGAAAUAGUUCAUCUGCAUGCCAUAGAUAAAUCAUCUUCAAUUGUUAGCAUGUUUAGAUAGUGAAGGGAUAUAUUUUCUAGCAGGUGAUGAUUGAAACAAGGAGAGCAUCUCUGCCCAUUUUCAUCCUUUCCCAGAAGUAAUGUGCUUUUUCACAUUUCAUCUUUCACUUGGGAAACCAUAAACAAACAUCAUAAUGCCUCUAGAUGGGUCUCUUCCAAAGUGAAAAUUGGCCUCUGAUUAGCCUCCAAGGUGGAUAACCAUCUUGGAGUUCUUUCAUAAAAGUGUCUUUUGUAUCUUUCCCAUACCCGAAUUAUUGAUGAACUUACAAAGUGGUUUCCAAAAUUCUUCUCUUUGGCAGUCCUCCCAUACCAAAGGUACGAAUUUCAGCCCUUUCGCAGGUCGAAUCCUUCCAGGACCAAAAUUUUUGGAUUUGCCAAUUUUAUCCAAUCCUUAACCCAUAUUAGAGCACAGGCUUCGAAGUAUAUUUUUAAAUCAGGGAGGACAAAACCUCCUCUUUUUUGUGAAUCAAUCAUUGUUUUAUACUAUUCUAUGGUUCUUCCCUUUCCAAACAACUUUCAUUAUAUCUUUAUUCCAUUCUUUAAAAAAUUUUAUGUUCCAAAUUAUUGAUAAGUUUUGAAAAAGAUAUAAAAGCUUAGGCAAUAUAUUCAUUUUAAUCGCGGCUAUUUGACCUAGAAGUGACAGGUUCAGAUUUUUCCAUGCCUCUAAUUCUUUUUUAAUUUCUAUCAAUUUCUGUGUAUAGUUGUUUUUCAAAUUUGAUUAUUUUUUGCAGUAAUCCAAAUUCCCAAAUAUUUAAAUUUCUUUACAAUUUGAAAUCCUGUUUCCUGUAGCACAAUCUCUUGGUUUUUCUUAGUCAUAUUUUUUGUCAGGAUCAUCGUUUUCUUAUUAUUUAUCUUAAAGUCUGCCAACUGGCCAAAUUCUUCUUUUUUUAAUCCAUUUUUGUAUAUUAUCUUUUGGGUUUUCAAUAAUACAGAUAACAUAAUCUGCAUAAACUCUGAUUUUGUACUCUUGUUUAUCGAUUUUAAUUCCUUUUAAUUCUUGAUCUUCUUGAAUAUUUCUUAGUAAAAUUUCUAAAGCAAAUAUAAAUAUUAAAGGGAAAGGGGGCCCCCUGAUUGUACCUUUACUAAUUGAAAAUUCUUCUGAAGCUUGGCCAUUGAUUAAUAUUCUUGCUUUCUGUUGUUGAUAAAUUGCAAUAACCGCAUUUUGAAAUUGAAAUCCCAUGUCCAUUUCUUAAAACAAUGUUUUUUUUAAAAAAUUCCAAUUUAAGUUAUCAAAUGCUUUCUCCGUAUCUAGGGAAAGCAAUGCCAAUUCUUUUUGAUGGUAAGUUUCGUAGUAUUCCAAAAUAUCUAAUAUAAUUCUUAUAUUAUCUUUUGAACUUUUUCCUGGUAGGAAUCCUGCCUGGUCCUCUCCAAUUCAUUCCUUUAAAAACUCCUUUAAUCUAUUAGCCAUAAUUGUUGAAAAAAAUGUGUAAUCCAUAUUUAGUAGUGAAAUCGGCCUGUAUCCUUUAACAUCGUCUUGUUCCGCUUCUUCUUUGGGGAUCAUUACUAUAUCAACAUUUUUCCACAUUGCCAUAAAUUGCGAAACCAUGUUUUUUCAAUGUUUUUCAUCAGGGAGAUGCAGGAAAGAAGGGGGUGGAAAUGUUUAUAAAAAUUAGAAACCUGCAAUAUAAAUACCAUAUUUUGAAAGUAAUUUUGUUACAUUAGGAACAUGUACCAUUUGGCUGACACAGAAUUAUCAUGUUUGGUAUAUUAAAACUACAGUGUACUGAGAAUAUAAUUGCAAAGUAAAUAUACUUUUCAAAAAUGUCCCUUUUUGUUUCAAGUGGAGGUACAAGGAUUUGAAAUAUAAAGAACACAUGAACUGUAAAUGCAAUCUUUAGCUUCAUCCAAAUGGAGCAAAUUGUAGUUUAUUUUAACAAGAAGGGGUUGUGUGUUGCUGUUUUUGGAAGCCAGCUAAUUUCAGUCUGGAUUUUGUCAUUGCCUUGUUAUAACAAACCACACUUAAGAUUUGGGCUAAGCUAAAUGAACAGACCUUGCCAAGAAAACCCUGUGAUAGGUUUAUCCUAGGGUCACCAUAGGUUGGAAAUGACUUGGAAGUCACACAACAACAACAACAACAACAACAACAACAACAGCAUCCCAGUUCAGGGUUCAAUUGUAAUGCUAGACUGUGAUUCAUUAAAAAACAGAAUUAAAAACCCCUGAUAGUUCUUACUAGGGAAAGGGGAGUCUGAAAUUUGCUUUGGCUUGUUCCCAGCACAAUAAUCUAUUUUAUCAUGACAACUGAAUUGUUGGAUUUCCUGUAAAUGGAUAUUACCUGUGGAAGGUGGGUGGUGAGGAAAAAGAAACUUUGUCACUGGCCACUGAUAUUUUUGUGCUUUAUUACUUUUAUUGCCAUUGCGAUCUGCAUUUAAAUGUAAAAGCAGCUAAGCCUUUAAAAUAGAAGCAAAUAGAGUACUGCUCAUGAAGUCUCACUUCACAGGAUUUCCACAAAUCUUGGCAAAACUUAGCCAUGAUUUCUGGCCAAACUAACCAUAUGCUCUGUGUUGUCGAAGGAUCCUCUGAAGAUGCCAGCAACAGAUGCAGGCAAAACGUCAGGAGAAAAUGCUGCUAGAGCAUUGCCAUACAGCUCAGAGACCACACAACACCCUAGCCUACUCUCCCUGUAGGUAUCUAGUAUUGGGACAGAACUCUGGGAUCUUCUAUGACAAAUCAGAUUUUCAUUGAAUGAGUUCAAUGGGACUCACUCAUCAGAAAAUGUGCCCAGGGUUGCAGCCUUACUUGUUGCAGCUUUACCUGUUGUAGCCUCUGAUGUGGUUCUUCUCCAACCCUGCCAUAUAUUUCUUUGAAUUAUUUCCACUCAUUCCUCAUCUCAACAGAUCUAUAAAAGCUGCACCAAAUUAAUAUUUUAAUAGGCGUGUUAACGUCUUGACCAAAUUUCAUUCCACACACAUUGUUGUUUUAUUAACACUUUUAUAGGUCAGGUUUGGCUGAUUUUGGACCAGAUGUAGAGGCACUGGAGCAUAUAGCAGAUGCGUAAGUGUGCAAAUGAGUGUGUGUACCCACACAGCCAAACAGAAGUCCUAUUGUCCUUUCAUAGUUGGUUGCAAAUAAAUACAUGUUUGUUUUCUGAGAAACCUCAUGCCUCUUAGAUAAUUGCUUCCAAUUGGUUUAAUGUUAGUGACUCAGCUUUAGCUCAGGGCUAUGCAGUGGGUGACCCUUCACACUAAACAUGCUCCACUAGCCAUGCGUGUCAAGCCAUAAGGGGCUUAAGAACAUAACAUACAGACUGUUUGCCUAGAUUUGGGGGCGUGUGGGCAUCAGCCACCUGUCUGACAUCAGUGCACGGCCAGUGGCCCAUGGGUUACACAGGCCUCUCAAGCUCUAAUGGAACAGUAAUAUCUCCUCCGCUUCUCUUUGUAGAAGGCAUUGAUUUAGGCAGCUUUGCAAUUCCCAGUUGUGAGUUGUCAUUGCAUUACCAUAAGAGGACUCUGCUCUCUGUUCAUGAUAUGUUAUCAGAAGAAAGCAUUUGUCCAGUAAAAAGUUGAUCUGAUAAUAAAUUUAUCUUGACACUUUCCUCAUUCCCACUACCAAGGGAGGAGAUGGAAAUUAGGCAUUCUUUCCCAAAAAUCCAAACUCUGCAUGUUUCAGCUGAUUAAUUUGGAUCAUUUUAUCUCAACAUUUGAACCACUGCAUGGGUUGUCAUGAAUUAUUGGAUGUCUGCUAUUUUGGAAAUGCUUACUUGAAGGACUCCUGAGGAAGAGUGAAUUAUUCCAGCUGUUGCUAUAUCGGACAUAAAUUUACUAAUCAUAUUUGGGAAGUGAGGAUGUAAGUGAUAAGCAAAAGAAAGUAUGAUAAGAACUUUUGAAUUUGUCGGGGAAUCAAAGAUGCUGUCUACUUUUGCUUGAGGAACAGAUUGGCUGUAGAAGGAACUCCCAGGUAACACAUAAUAAUGAAAGACAUGGAUCUGCCUAGAUGUAGAUUAUUAGAAAACAUACAUUCUCUCCUUCCUGGAUCUACUUCAAAGAUGCUGCCUGACUCCAAGCAUAUUGUAUGAUACCAAAUAUUUCUCAGUUUUUAAAAUCUGUCUUGUUUACCCCAAAUGUGAAUUCUUAUGAGAAAGAGACCAUUGAGAGAAACCUAGGCCAUAUGACUUGUGAAGUUUUAUUUGAUUUGACACAAUACUUUGUUUUCAGCAAUUGAUUUGUGUGUAUGGAAUUAUCUUGGAUACAAAGGCUGAUAAAAUGGUAAGCUUUUCCAACAGCCAAAUACAUCUCUAUUAGUCACACCAAUUUACAUUGGAGAAGAAUAUUAAUUUUCUUUCUGUGGGGUAUUUACAUAAGAAGGAACAGCUCUCUGAAGUAGACUUCCAAAAGUUGAAAAGCAAAACAUAACAAAUCAGUAAGCAAGCCAAACAUUACGAAAAGACUGCUAGUAUUUAAAAAUGUUAUUCAGAAAAUAUAAACUUCUAGAAACAUUUAACGCAACAGUAUUGGAAACCAUCUCAGUUGAGUAACUCACAGUGCUUUCUCAUGGAAAGACCACAAAAACCAAGUGGACUGAAGAGGGGAGCAGGUUUGUUAAGAGGAUUGAAGAGGGAGCACGUUUGCUUUCUGCUGCCCUGGAAACUAGAACUCGGAGCAGUGGGUUCAAAUUACAGAAAAGGAGAUGCCACCUGAACAUUAGGAAGAACUUCCUGACUGUAAGAGCUGUUCAGCAGUGGAACUCUGCCUCGGAGUGUGAUGGAAGCUCCUGGGUGGCCAUCUGUUGGGGGUGGUUUGAUUGUGCUUUUCCUGCAUUGCAGGGGGUUGGGCUAGAUGGGCUGUGUGGUCUCUUCCAACUCUAUGAUUCUAUUAUUCUAUGACUUUUGAAGGCCUGUAAUGGCAAUGCAGGAUAUAUACAACUGACAAUGCAUGCUGCAGUCAUUGACCUACACCUGAGAGAGUUUGAUGCCUAGUGCUAUCAUCCCGAUUGUUUUUACUGUGAAAAGGGCUUGAACAGCUAGCCCCCCCCCCCCCCAAAAUGACAUUUUGGUAUGGGUAAAGAUGGAUUUUCAAGUACCCUGCUUCAAACUGUAUAGUGGUGUGCUACUCGAAAUAAUGAUCCCUGGACCGAUGCUAGUCUCUUAAACUAUUGGCUGCUGGUUUCUGUUGAAUUUCCUGGGAGAGAGGGGAAAGGGAAUUGUAGUAAAUGGGCCCAAAUAUGCCGUUAACAGUGAUCCCUGACAUGCUGGAAAACAAUCAUUGCCUGUACACCAUAUCAGAUAGCCUGAGAAGCAUUGGUGUAGUAAUAUUUUUUUGCCAUUUGAACUCUAAUCAUUGACCCUGCUUCUUAGUGGGGGGUUGGACUGGAUGGCCCAUGAGGUCUCUUCCAACUCUACUAUUCUAUGAUUCUAUGACCCAAUCUGGUAGGCAUAAUGUUUCUUUGCCCUUAGUACUUUUGAAUGACAAGGAAUUGAUGGGACUCUACACCUGGAUUGAAGAUGUUUUAGAGGGAUUAUGUUGAUGGACCUCAUUUCAGUUGAGCUUCUAGGGAACUUGUAAAAUCUGGAUUUAUCUCUGGGGGAGACCUUCAGACCUUAUCUGCCAUGCUGAUGGAGUUUAAAAGCAGUUCACAGACAGUCAAAUCUGGUAGAGUAGUAAUGUGUCUAUGUUAAUGAUAUCCGCUGAUUCCUGUAUAAUAUAAGACUGACCUCCUUUUCCCCAGUAAGAUAAUUUCCCCUUUAAUCACAUCCACAUUAAGUCCUGCUGCCUAUGUUAAAUAUUUCCUAGAUUUUCCCAGGAUUGAAUCUCCCUGUGUAGACAUACUCAAUUUAAAGACACGAUACAACAGUGAAAGCACAUAGAACAAGCAAGGGAUACUCAGCAUUAUUGGACAAGCUGGCAGGGGAACUGCCUCUCACAUUACUUAAGGCAGAGAUUCUGGUGGGAUAAUUAACAAACUGAAUCAAAUAUUGACUCGGCAAUCCUUAGGCAGGUCACUCACCUCUCAGGCCUUCUGCCUAAGGACUGAUAGAAAUAGGCUACCACUCAUCAGUCUUUUUAUUCUUUGGGAAAGUGUUCAAUUGCCAGCUAUCUUGACUGUGUCCCUUGUACAUGUACAAGAACAAACACGCCGAGAAGGCUUCUACGUGCAUCUCCACUGAUUCCAUUUAUUAGAAUCAUACUAGAUUGCCACCGCCAAAAUAAUCCUCAGACGCCCGACAUGAACCAUGGUGGUCAUGGUUUUCAGACCUACUUAGCAUGAAGGUUCUGGGUCACUGGCAGAAAGAGAAGAAAGAUUUGCAUCUUCAAGGGCUAGCUAUUCUUUCUUCUCUGGAGAUGUUCUAGCAAACAUUUUAAGAUUUAAUGGCAGUACUUGGAUAAAAUGAGUUGCCUAGCAAAAGAAGCUUGAAACAUCAUCAUCCAGAAUAAACCUAGGGAUCCACAGUGUUGGUGUGAUUUGGUCUAUUCUAACUCUAUGAUUCUACGAUUGUUGGACUAGAAAGACCAGGAUCUGAAUCCAUAGUUGCCUUAGUUUGGAAUUGACUUGAAGGCAUGUAAUAAUAAUAAGAACAACAACAGCAGCAACAACAACGAGGAACUCCACCAACUGGGUCUAUACUACAACCUAGAGAGGCUUCUUUCAGUGAUGUCAGGGUGGUGGAUGUUGACCCAGUUCCAGUUGACGUGAGGCAGUCCUAGAUUUCUGAACAGCUUUAGAAGAAAGAGUUGAACAUCAGCAUGAUUGAGAGAUGCUGAGGAACAUCUUGCAGUAUGCAGCUAAAAUUUCUUCCCUUCCAGCUUUUGCCUCAAGAUUCAAAGAAGUGGAAUGCCAAUUAUGCCCCCCACAGUUUAGAAAUCAUUGCUCCAGGGAAGACAAAUAGCUGUGAUGAGUAAAUGAUGGUGGGGAAGGUGCUGAAAUCAUAUGCACUUUCUAGAAGUGAUAUUUCCUUCACUGGCUCGUCCUUUCCUCUUGCUGUUGAUUUUGAUGACAGCUACUAGGCUUGGAUUAUGUCUACUCCUCCAUUUCUGUUUGCCAUGCUAUUGGAAAGGGUCAAAUUGUCCAGUGAUUAUAGCACUUGCAGCUGGAGGGAGAUUGUUCCUUUUAUUUGGCAAGUCUUCUUCUCUUCUGGUCCAGUGCCCUGGAUCCCCAUUUGACAGGUGAAAAGCUCAUACCUCAGUCUGAGUCAAGCUGUUGUGAUUUGUCUGUAUAUACAUUAAAAAUAACAUAUAUAUAUAUAUCUAUAGGCGCCUCCGGUGGCGCAGUGGGUUAAACCCUUGUGCAGGCAGGACUGCUGACGUGAAGGUUGGGUUGCUGACCUGAAGGUUGCCGGUUCAAAUCAGGGGAGAGCUCAGAUGAGCUCUCUGUCAGCUCCAGCUCCCCAUGUGGGGACAUGAGAGAAGCCUCCCACAAGGAUGAUAAAAACAUCAAACAUCCGGAUGUCCCCUGGCAAUGUCUUUGCAGACGGCCAAUUCUCUCACACCAGAAGUGACUUGCAGUUUCUCAAGUUGCUCCUGACAUGAAAAAAACUCUCCAAAACAUACAUUAAUAAAGUGUGUAUGUAUGCAUUAGCAGUUGAUAUACUUAGUAGCAGAUAUAUGAUUAAAUCAGUUUGUGUAAUAUAACUUAAUAUUGCUUAAUUUUGCAUUGUAUUAGGUUUUCAGUGUUCUAUAUAGUUGCUUAACUCCUCAAAAUCUUCCCCGUUGCUUUUGCUGGAAUGGAUCAAAAUCUUUCUUGCCACUUAGUGUCUUGAUUUGAUUUGUCUCCAUAAACAUUUACUAAAAUUCUGGGAAAGGAAGCUUUUCUCUAAUUUCUUGUGUUUUAAUAAGAGUCUCACAAGAUUUUGUUGUGCACUGCUAAGGUCUUGAAUCCUAAGGGCCCACCGUUAGUGAAGAUAGCAGUUUCUGCAAGGAGGAUUGAAAUUGGUACUUAAAAUAAUACUCAGCUUGUCAAAUUUUGCUAGAAAUAUUAAAAGUGAGAGAGACAUGAGUAUCAACACUCUGGACUUAUCUGGUCAGCUGGGUAUCAGCCUAUUUUAAUACUGUGAUAAACAGCUUAGAAUCUAUUUUAGAAUGCCUGUCUGCUGGAUGUCUGUUUAGACUUCCUGUUUAUUUGACUGUCAUUUUUAAGCGCAUCAAAUAAUGGAUCUUUGGACAUCUCCCUCAGAACAGAUUUUUCUAGGGAUUUUUCAGAUCUGCAUAAGAAAGUGGCACAACUGUAAACAUAUUCAUAUUUGUCAUGAAGAUAUAGUGCAUAAAGGGAUUUGUAGUGUUCAUUUUAUGGAUCAAAGGCAUGGCAGGGAAAGGAAUGAGAUAAUUAGUAAAAAUAGGUUGCAGCUACUCAACCGGGUGGAUCACACAGUCUGCAAUUACUUGAGAACCUUCUGUUCUUCUGAUGGAAAAUACAACUCUGGGAUGGAAGAUCAAACAUUUAAACUGGUUUUUCACAAGGGAUGAUGUGCAAUAUGAUGAGAUUAUAGGAGACAGCUUCCUGCACAAAUAGACCAAUCAAGAAGCAAGUAUGUAAUUGGUAUAUAAACAGUUUAAAAAUCUGAUAGUGCUAAUGUCAAAAGAAUGUUAGUUGAGAUAGGUGUGGAAACAACAAAGCAAAAAGUAGUAGAACAACUUGGAGCCAAAGCUAGGAAAAGUACAAUAGGAGCUCUGUUUUUUUACUCGUUGCCCACAGGUAUUGUUCACUAUGUUUAAGAUAGAUUGUAAACACUUAAUAUGUUUUAGGUUUCACUCUUGCGAUUCAGUGAGUCAUGUCUUGGGACUGGAUGUGAAAGUUGUACAUUGAAAUACUUGCUGAUUUCCAUUGGGUGGUCAUUAACCAAGUAAUAAUUCCCAAUUUAGGAUUAUUGGAAUGUUACCCUAAUUUUUUAGCCUGUAUUCUUGGCAAUAGGAGAAUGAGAGACAAGAACAGCAAUUUUUCCAGAAUAAUUUCUACUUGUAUCUCAAGUGUGGAUGUCUGGCAGCAGUGCUUCAUCUCUACUUUUCCUCUCUGUCCAUGAUGCAGUCAUGCCGGCCACAUGACCUUAGAGGUGUCUAUGGACAACGCCAGCUCUUCGGCUUAGAAAUGAAGAUGAGCACUGAAGAGAGCCCAAUUUGUGGUACUCAACUCAGGCAGGGGAAAUUCUUUUUUUAAAUCCCACUGCUGCCUCCAAUUGAGGAGAUGUGCGCAUGUGUGAGAGGGAGGGAUGGAGGAUGUGUGAAUGUAUGACAGGGAGAAUUUAGUGGAUAAGGAAGGAUAACCGAACUGAUGGGUUUAAAUGAGUAAAGAUGGUAACUUAUAUAUAAAAGUACGGUAACUUAUAUAGAUAGGUACGGUAACUGCCACCAACGUGAGGUAAUGGGUUUCUUUCAGGCUUACAGAGAGGCAAGGAGAUUGAUCUUUGUGAACAAUAACAAAAUUCAAGUUUAUUUGUACAUAAGCGUAUGGUUCCAAUACAUAAACGUUUCAGGAUCUUAAGUUACAAUGCCGUCUUGUUUGAAUGGAUAUUUCUUAAAUAACUUCUCUUCAAAACAGUAUACUAAACUCCCGGUCAACCUAUAUUCCCAGCCUUUCCCCUGAGUGACCAUAAGCUGCCGUCCUUAGCUGAUUUCCACAGCUCCUAAUCUUUCCAAGACCUAACCGCAACUGUCCUUUUUAAACCCUCACAGCAACUCCUUUUUAAAAAAGGGAAUAUACUCUCAACUGUCAACUUAGCCACGCCCCCUUUUUCCUCCCAAGGGAAGCUGUGUUACCAUGGCAACCUACCAAAUGCUGCUUCCAGCUAGUUUCCAUGUUAGGCUUUUCCUUGCUAAUAUAUAACUCUUUUUUUUAACAAACAAAUAAAUAAAAUUAUAUCAAUAAUCUCUGUUUAACACAUAACUUCUCUACAAGCGCCAAUCCCCAGAGUCAGUCAUGACAGGACUUAACGUCAGGGGAAACCUUUACCUUUACCUUACCAGAAAGGUAGUGUGUAAAUCUGAAAUGAGCUCACACUGAUGGAUUGACAAAGAUCCCAAGUAUAUCAUUUCAGCUGCCUCAAACAUGCUACCAGCUGAGAAAGGUUUCCCUGGGUAGGCCUCUUGGUUGAUCUGCAUGUCUCCCAAGACAAGUAAGAAACAUUAGGUGCCUCUUCUUUCCUGGCCUCUCUCUUCCCCCGCCCACCUCUUUUCCCAAAGUGGGAUAAGGUUUCUACCACAUUGUUAAUUUCAAUUUAAUGAGCUAGCUUGUAUUGGAGAAUUGGUAUGAGUGAUGCCAAAAGUGUAUGAAAUUAAGCUUCGAAAGGUAGAAAGCUGGAGCAAUGUUACAUCUAGAGCCAAAUUACUAAGAUGAAAGCAUCUCGAAUUACUCAUCUAAUUGAAAAAAUCCACAUAAUAUUUUCAGAAUUAUUUGAACAGUGAAAACAGAUACAUUUUUCUUUUGCAGCCAAGUGCUUAAAGGGCAUAAUGUGAAAAGUAUUAUCCCCCCCCCCCCCCCCGAUCUAUAGUCUUGGGAUAUUGAUUGUGUGCCCUCCAGAUUUUUUUGGACUGUAACCAAGAAUGCUGGCAGUUGCAAUUCAGUAACGUUUAGAUGGCAACAGUAGUCCUACUUCACCUAUAGUGAAAGUGUGUAAACAUAAUGAUACUAUGUACAUCUUCAUAAUGAUACUGCUGGACCAAAAAAAUCGUCCUGUCCAUCAUGCAGCUGAUGGAUAAAAGGAAAAUGGGUGCUUCUAAAAGAGUACCAUAAGAAUGGUGUAGAACCCAUACAACAUAAAUUACUGUGCUACCAGAGGAAUAGCUGUGUGUGGCAAAAGAUGGAUGGACCCACAGGGAGGAUGGUCUUAUAAAGCAUUGUUAUGUUCUAUUCUAUGUGGUUUUAAAAUGUACAUCAUGGUCACAAGGGUCUAUCAAAUUUAGUUUGUGGUCAGAAAUUGGGUAAGUGUGUUAAGUCACCAUGUAGUCUGAUCCUGUCCAAAAGGAUUCUCUCUCUAUUUAUAUGUGCUUUCAAGUAGCGUGUUGACUUAUGGUGACCACAUACAUUUUGUAGGGUUUCCUACUUUCCUUAGGCAAGGAAUACUCGGAUGUUGUUUUGCCACUUUCUUCAUUUGAAAUAUAGCCUAUAGCACCUAAUAUUCAUUGGUGGUCUCUCACCCAGGUACUGACCCUGCUUGCUUCCAAGAUCAGACAAGAUUUUGUGUCUUUAGGAUAUGUAGGCCCCUUGAAGAAUUCUGGAUACAGUAUAUGGAAAAAUGCAUCCAGCAUCCAGGUCAUUUCACCUUGUCCUAGAGAAUAUUCAUAUCUAUAUGACUUGAUCUCUUUACUUAGAAGCAAGGAGUUAAUGUGUAAUAAUACACCACUGAUGGGAUGGAACUAAUUGAUCAUAGGAUUCUAAUGAAGCUUCAUUUCUCCCUUGUCAUUCUUCUAAAAUUGUGUUUUUGCCUCUUGCAUUGAUGGUGUCACACCAGGCUAACAUCACACAAACAUCAGCCUCAUGUCGAUACCAGGCAAGAUUCUGGAAAAGAUCAUUAAGGAAGUGGUCUGCGAACACUUAGAAACAAAUGCGGUCAUUGCUAAUAAUCAACACGGAUUUAUCAAAAACAAAUCAUGCCAGACUAAUCUGAUAUUGUUUUUUGAUAGAGUUACAAGUUGGGUAGAUGCAGGGAACACCAUGGAUGUAGAGUAUCUGGAUUUUAGUAAGGCCGUCGACAAGGUCCCCCAUGACUUUAUGGCAAACAAGCUAGUCAAAUGUGGGCUAGGCAAAACUAUGGUUAGGUGGAUCUGUAAUUGGUUAAGUGAACGAACCCAAAGAGUGCUCACCAAUGCAUCUUCUUCAUCUUGGAAAGAAGUCACGAGUGGAAUGUCGCAGGGUUCCAUCCUGGGCCCGGUUCUGUUUAACAUCUUUAUUAAUGACUUAGAUGAAGGGCUAGAAGGCAUUAUCAUCAAGUUUGCAGACAAAACCAAACUGGGAGGGAUAGCUAACACUCCAGAAGACAGGAGCAGAAUUCAAAACGAUCUUGACAGCUUAGAGAGAUGGGCCGAAACUUACAAAAUGAAGUUCAACGGGGACAAAUGCAAGAUACUCUACUUAGACAGAAAAAAUGAAAUGCAAAGAUACAGAAUGGGGGCAAUGCCUGGCUCGACAGCAGUAUGUGUGAAAAAGAUCUUGGAGUCCUUAUGGACAACAAGUUAAACAUGAGACAACAAUGUGAUGUGGCUGCUAAAAAAGCCAAUGGGAUUUUGGCCUGCAUAAAUAGGAGUAUAGUAUCUAGAUCCAGGGAAGUCAUGCUACCCCUCCAUUCUGCCUUGGUCAAACCACACCUGGAAUACUGUGUCCAAUUUUGGGCACUGCAAUUGAAGGGAGAUGUUGACAAGCUGGAAAGUGUCCAGAGGACAGUGACUAAAAUGAUCAAGGGUCUGGAGAACAAGUCCUAUGAGGACCAGCUUAAUGAGCUGGCCAUGAGCCUGCAGAAGAGAAGACUGAGAUGAGACAUGAUAGCCAUGUAUAAAUAUGUGAGGAGAAGUCAUAGGAAGGAGGGAGCAAACUUGUUUUCUGCUGCCCUGGAGACUAGGAUGCGGAACAAUGGCUUCAAACUACAGGAAAGGAGAUUCCACCUGAACAUUAGGAAGAACUUCCUGACUGAGAGAGCUGUUCGGCAGUGGAACUCUCUGCCUCAGAGUGUGGUGGAGGCUCCUUUGGAAGCUUUUAAGCAGAGGCUGGAUGGCCAUCUGUCAGGGGUGCUUUGAAUGUGAUUUCCUGCUUCUUGGCAGGGGGUUGGACUGGAUGGCCCAUGAGGUCUCUUCCAACUCUAUGAUUCUAAUACAACCGUCUCUCCGGCUGUUAUGUUUUCAUCUGUACAACGGCAUUUGGUAGGGAUCUUAUCUCCACCCAAAAGAGUGAUACCUGAGAAUGGGAUAUAUGGUUGUUUGCUUUCAUGUAAGUCACUUGAUUUUCUACAGCAGUGGGAAAGAUUUUCAAAAGGUUUUCACUUUCUUGGAAUUUCAUCUCAUAAUGAUAUUACUAGCCCUCCCUUUUGGCUCAGUACAGUAGCUUGUCAAUAAAACCUAUGGAAUUGUAUAUUAAAUUCACACACACACACACACAAAAUAAACAGCUAUAAGUAUCAGGGAAAAAAUGAAAAAGCAUCCAUUUUACAUUGCAAUAUGUUUUUGUGAGGCUUUUUGCAUUUUUUUAUAGAUUUCCCCAGUGAAUCAAAAUAGCAGUAAUAAGAGUCUGAGCAUCCACUGGAGGCUACUGGCAGAAUUAUCUUCCUACUGACUUUCAUAAGCUGAUUUAUUUAUGGACAUUGGCCGAGAAUACUUUAAACCAGAAUGUAGGCAAAAAGACGAUGACUGACUUAAAGCCCUUGCUAUAGUAAAAAUAAGGAUUUGCAUAAGGGAAUUACUAUGUGGGGAUGAUAUAUCAUGCCUAUCUAGCAUAUUAAAGAGGUGCAUUUUUGGAAGUAUAAAAAGACAAUAAAAUGCUGUUGUUAUUGUUAGAAAGCAUUCAGGAUACGGCAACGAUAGCAACACUCAGGAGCUCACUGCAUUUUUUAAACCGAGCACCAGCUCACAUAUUAGUCCUAUUGGCUCAUUCUUUCUGUGCUGCUGUUGUGUUGUUUUAUUCAUUUGUAUCCUGCCUCUCUCAAUAAUGUAAUUCAGGGAGGCUAACAGCCUAUUUUAAAACAAUGCAAAUUUGAAAGUAUAUAAAAACUUGCAUAAAAGCAUAAAUACAAAAGUUAAUUGAAAACUAUUAAACAGUUGUUGGUAGAAUUCCCCACUCUAUCAAGGCAACAGUAAUAACAGUCUAAACAUCCACUGGAGGUUAAAAAUUAUAAACAAUAAAAUUUAUGCUAAAAUGUGUAUUUUAUGUCCACUUAAAGACAGCGAAGCACCGAGUUAAACAACCACCCCAAAAGGAGAUCAAGGAAGGGAUCUCCCCAUGUAUGGAGGGAGAUCUGAAGUCUAGGAGCAUCAGCAAGAAAGAAAAUGUUGACAGUUUGACACCAUUGUUCUUUAUGGCAACCAAGUCCAGGAGUGGCUAUAAGCAAGGGAAACCAUGGGCAACUGGUUCCUAGUGAGAAUAACUGUAUGAUAGAUCCUUACAAAUGUUUGUGAUACUCAUUCUUCACAUUGUUAGAUGGACACUAGCCACUCCUUAAAUGUAUCCUCAAAAUACUUGUGGUAAAUGGUGCUCCUUAUGUUUGAGGCAGAAUUUCUAAUGAUUCUGGAACUAAACAGACCUAGGAACUAUAGUUCUUUCCCCCCCACUAUAGCUCCCCAUAUUAGUGUAGUCACUGGCUAUGUUGGCAGGAGGAUUUUGGCAUCUCUUGUCCAAAAAUGUACCUUUUCCAAGCUUGGGAAUUCUGGAGUGUAUGGUAGUAGUCUCUAUGGUGGCUCCUCCUGCUUGGACAACAGGCUUCCCCUUUUGCGGGGCUGAUGAGCCAUUCAGAGUCCUGCUCCUAGGAAGGGCAGAGGAAGUUUCCUUCAUGACUGAAAUGCAGCAUGUGGCCAGACUGUCCACCAACAGCAGUGGCAACUAACUAGAAAUGUUAUUGCAGUCAUUGAAAAUGUGCCACCACAAGGCAUUUGCAUUUGUGGAUAUCCUGGGCUCUUUCUUGCAUACUUCACACAAAUACAUGCCCAAGGACAGUUGUGAAGAUUUGAACUACCUAAAAUGGCCUCUGGCUUGUACUUGGAUGGCAUUACAGCUUUAUGCCGCAUUCCUUUUAUGGCUACAGUUAGGUAAAUCAAUGCAGUCAAUCACCUUUAGCAUAAAUACAUUCUUGAGAAGCCGCAAACAACAAAGAGAUUCAGCAAGUGAGGAGCUGUUCCAGAGUAUUAUGAAACAGCUUUGGGGAACAGAAAAACUGCAGAUAGUAUUUAGAGGGAAAAACUCUUGAGUUCACUUUGAAGGAGAUAUCCGGACAAAUUACUAGUUUGCAUCAUGGUCAUGGACUGUAUGUCCCGCUAUCCUCGCAGCAUACUUUUAUUUUCAUUUUUCUUAAAAACUCCUGGGAUGAAUGGCUGAAAGGAGUGCAGCAUGUCUGAACAAUGAUCUGGGUGCAACUAUAUUUUUUAGAUUUUGUUGUUGUUAUGUGGCUUCAGGUAGUUUCUGCCUUAAGUCAACCCAAGGCUAUUGUAUGGAGUUUUGUGAGGCUAAGAGGAUGUGUGACUUGCCUAAGGUCAUACAGUGAGUUUUCAUGGCCAAGUGGAGAUUUAAACACUGUUUUCCAGAGUAGUAGUCUUCAACCACUACACUGUCUUUGUUAAUAGGCAAACAUAUCAUUUCUAGGCUCUCAAUCUGUUAGGUCUCUCUUUCUUCCAUUAAAAAUAUUUAAUCCUAACUGCCUCUGGUUGUUUUGUUAUGAACCCUUUAGUUCUUAACAACAGCGCACAGGCAGUUUGGAGGUGAAUCCAUCUGUUUGGCUUGAGAUGCUCUAGAUAUGUGGAGACAAUCACUUGUUUGAAGGUACGUUAACAGUUCUUCUCAUCAUGGAAGUUGGAAUGAUCUUGUUAUCCUAAUCUGCCCAGUUGACUUCUUGCCCAGCAUGGUUCAGGGAGAAAUAUCAAUCAAUAAAUUAAUUAAUUAAUUAAAACAAAUAAACUUUGGUGAGAUGUGAUCUCUAAACAGGCCCUGUGUUUUCCAGUUAAGGAGUGCUAUCUUGGAUCCUGCCAGAAAAAGCUAGCAUUGACGAAUGUUUGGCAUCUCAGAGGAGAAACAAGAUACAACAGACUUGCUAUAACUUGUUUGGAGUUCUAUUGAGUACUAAUUGUCUGAGAAUUGCUUCUGUAUUGGUUUCCAAACUCCUUCCUAUGUUUGCUGGGGGGUAAAUUGAAAGAUCCACUGUGCCCAGGAUUGCAAAAUCCUUGGUGAAUUAAAAUGGCAAUGGACACCUAUUGCUAUCUACCUACCGUGUUUUCCCAAAAAUAAGACAGUGUCUUAUAUUAAUUUUUGCUCCCAAAGAUGCUCUAGGUCUUAUUUUCCGGGAAUGUCUUAUUUUUCCAUGAAGAAGAAUUCACAUUUAUUGUUGAUCAAAAAAUGAACAUUUAUUAUAUACUGUACAAUAGUUGUCAUCAUAAACCAGCAUAACCAGACAAAUUGUGAAUCCUAUAAAGAAUUUCUUGUUACUACCAAUAUUUCCAUGUGUAACACUUUAUGGUAUGUACCUUUACCGAUCCUGCAUGCUCUGGUGUUCUGUUCGGCGGGUAUGCUUCCAAACAAAAACUUUGCUAGGUCUUACUUUUGGGGGAGGCCUUAUAUUUAGUAAUUCAGCAAAACCUCUACUAGGUCUUAUUUUCUGGGGAUGUCUUAUUUUAGGGGAAACAGGGUAGAGGCUUUUUGAGCCAUUUAGCCUGCCCUGAGGCCACAAAAGUUAAUGCCAGGAGGCUUUGUCUUGGUCCUGGUUGUUCAUGCCACACUCGGUGAGCCACUUUACUGUACUUCUGCCUCAUUUGUAAAGGCAGAAAUUUCAGACAGUUCUGUCUUGCCCAUCCUCAAAGGCAACCAGAGUGGCUUUUGGUAAAUAUAAUAGCCAAGGGCCAAAAGAGGACAGGGCUGUGGCACCUUUAAUAGUUACAUAGAAGAAUAUAUUUCAGGAGUUAUAGCUUGUCAUGAAAUUAAAAACACGGAAUUCCUCUUCUCUUUUAUAUUUGAACACUCUGUCAUAAUUGUUAAUAUUCACAUCAGAAGACUCCCCUUGUAAGUAGUUUAGAUGCAUGAAUACUAACAACAGGACCUUUUCUGCAGUUGCAUUGCACUUUAUUUCUUAUAAUUUAUUUAUUUUUUUAGAGUACUGGUUUAUCACCUUUCUGUUAAGCAGGGCCCCUGAAGCAAUGCAGAACACAUUUGAACAGAUUAAAAGCUACUUUUAAAAAUCAAGCAGUAUUUUAAAACCAGUUUUUAAGGCACAAAAAAUUAAAAUAAUCCAAAUGCUGGCCCCCACUUUAAUGAUCUUUUAAAACAUGGCUUUAAAAGCAGGCAUUUGAAAAUGGCUAAUUGUAAACCAAGAGAUGGAAGUUUUUAAUGGGAUUAAUUUUAAUUGGGUUUUAUUGCUGUUACCAACAAGAGCAGGUUCUGUGAUGUUUUAGUGGUACUAUAUGUCUUAAUUGUUGUAAAGUUUUAUAUUUAUAUGGGUGAUGUUUAUGAGUUAUAAUUAAUAUGCUUAUUGGGAUUUAUUUUUCUUCUAUGUAUUAUGAUUUGGCUUUUCUGAUUUAUUUCUUUUGAUUUAACCUUUUUGGGAUUGCAAGUGUGACUGAUACCUUGUUACAUUGUUACCUCUUGUUGUAAACUGCUUCGACUCCCCUUGGGGAGAGGGGGGAGGGAUAUAAAUAAAGCUUUAUGUUGUUGUUGUUGUUAAAUUCUAGUGCCAAUUUUAAGGAGAAAAUGCCGUGGAAAAUAGUGAGGACUUCAGCUCCUUCUGAAAGCUGACAAGGAACAGAGCCAGCUUGACUUCUUUUGGGAAGAGAUUUUACAUCAAGGUGCUACUUUUGAGAAAACAGUGGUUCAUAUACUCACCUGUCUAGCCUCUUAACGUGGUGAAAUGUAGAAUAAGGCCUUCAUCAAGACUCACAGAUUCUGACACAAGCCUUUUGGGGUUUUGUAGGUCAAAGCCAGCCCCUUGAAUUGAGCUAAGGAGUAAACUAUAAACCAGUGCAACUGUUACAAGAUUGGUGGUUUUUGGUCUCUAAAGAAAAAGCAGAAUAACAAUUUAGCAUUAGCUGUAGCUUCUGAACUCUUUUCAAGGAAAGCCCCAAAUAGAUCUCUUAACAGUAUUGUAAUUGGGAAGUCAUUAAGGCCAAAUGAGCCUUCUCUGGGAUGAAGUUAGCACACUAGUUAAAGACACCCAUUUUGCUGUAUGUUGACCUUUCCCCCUUGUCUGCCCACAUGGAUUUUGAUUUGAUUUAAAUUAAUAGGUUUAUGUACAUAUUUGACAGAUUUAUACAUGCAUAACUCUAAUUGAUUUCUAGUUAUCUGGACUUUAAGUGACAAUUAAUGAAGAUCAAUAUGUUGAAACUGCUGGCACUGGGCUGAAGCCAAUUUUUCGUUCCAACUAGAGUAGACAUAGUAGAUGAGUGGCAUGAACCAAAUUCUCAUUUUUAAAAUACUACUUGUUUAAAAAGCAGCUUGUUAAAGUGGGGAUAGGGAAAGAAUUGACACCCCCAGGUUGUGUGCUGCCCGCAGACCUCUCAAUUUUUAAAAAAAUUCUUUUGAUUGCAUCCAAAUUCACCUUUCUCCCAACAUAUCCUCUUUUUUGAAGCUAAAAUUUAAUCUUAUUCCAUAGUAAAAAUGCAGCAGUCAUGUCAUUCGUUGGUUUGAAGUAAUCUGCUAGGAAAUGUGUUUAUCAAAGUGUGGCAACUUUACUUCUGUUGAAAAAAUUGAAUUUGAUAUCAUUUCCUGGUUGGUGAUGGUUUCCCCUGUUCUCAAAAAUGCCCUGAAUACACCCUAAGGCAUCCCCCCAAAGCUUUUUGGGGUGUGUGGUGCUGGGAAUGGCCCUCCGAGGACCCCUGGUGGGACAGUGUGGCCUUUUAAGCCCUGACAGUUUCCCACCUGAGUUUGCAAACAAAGAUACAUUUCACUUAUUCCAUUUUAUCCUCACCAGGAUAAUAUGAGAUAGGUCAGGCUUGGAGCUUGUGACAUCAUAACAUGAGAAUAAGCUGAUAUGGUACCUUUGUUUCUUUGUGCAAUAAAGACACAUAUGGACAUAUUUGGAAGUAUGAGGAACUGCCAAGCUGUCAAAAGUGUGGGAUUUACUAGUCCCAGGAUAUAGAAGGUGUGGCUGAUUGUAAAAGACAAACAACCAGCUCAAGAAAAAAAUUGAUUUGAGCCCCAAAUGCCAAUUUCCAUCAUUUAUCCCACGUGGAAUAAUGAAGUACCAGUUUCAUAGAAAAUAAGUAGAACUGAUUUAAUGUAGUAGUUUGAGCACUUAAUAAUAAUAAUAAUAAUAAUAAUAAUAAUAAUAAUGCUUUAUUUAUACCCCACCACCAUCUCCUCACAGGGACUCAGGGCGGCUUACAUUGGGCGAAGCCCAAACAACAUAAUUAAACAAAGAAACAAUAACAUAAAUACACUUCACAGUAUAAAAAGAAACAAUAAUCUAUAUAUAUAAAAGGAUAAAAAAAAUGGCCUAGGACAAAACAACAAAACUACACAUCCCAGAAACACUAAACUUGACAACACAACCCCUCAUUCAUGCCUCUACGUUCAUACAACAAAAAGAAAAGAAAAAUAAAGUCCUAAUUAGAAGGAGAGGAAGAAUUGUUUUUUAUCCAAUUGCUGCCAGUUACAAGGCUAAGCUCUGCCCACUUGGUCUCCUAGCAACCUACUCAGCCCAGGGGACAGGCACAGUUAGGCCUCAGGCCUCUUCCACACUGCCUAUAAGAUACAGAUUAUCUGAUUUUAACUGGAUUAUAUGGCAGUGUAGACUCAAGGCCCUUCCACACAGCUAUAUUACCCAUUUAUAGUGUGCAUUUUAUACAGCUGUGUAGAGGGGGCCUCAUAUAAUCCAGUUCUAAGCAGAUAAUAUAAGAUUAUAAAUAUACAGUAGAGUCUCACUUAUCCAACAUAAACAGGCCAGCAGAACGUUGGAUAAGUGAAUAUGUUGGAUAAUAAGGGAUUCAGGAAAAGCCGAUUAAACAUCAAAUUAGGUAAUGAUUAUACAAAUUAAGCACCAAACAUCAUGUUAUACAACAAAUUUGACAGAAAAAGUAGUUCAAUGCUCAGUAAUGCUAUGUUGUAAUUACUGUAUUUACAAAUUUAGCACCAAAAUAUCACAAUGAAUUUAAAACAUUGACUACAAAAACAUUGACUACUAAAAGGCAGACUGCGUUGGAUAAUCCAGAACAUUGGAUAAGCGAAUGUUGGAUAAGUGAGAUUCUACUGUAAUAUGAAAUAAUUACUAUGGUAAUCCAGUCCAACCCAAUUCUGCCAUGGAGGACACAAUCCAAUCACGCCCAACAGAUGGCCACCCAGCCUCUCAAUAAUAAUAAUAAUAAUAAGAAGAAGAAGAAUAUCAUACAAUCAUAAGGUUAGGAGACACCCCUAAAUAUCAUCCAAUUCAACUUCCUUCUACCAUGUGACGACACAAACCAAGCAAUCCUGACAGAUGGCCAUCCAAGAUCUGCACAGUAAUCAUACAAAUCGAAUCAUAGAAUCAGACAGUUAGGAGAGACCCCUAAAGGCCAUCCAGUCCAACCCAACUCUGCCAUUGGACGAUACAAUCCAAGCACUCCCAACAGAUGGCCAGCCUGCCUCUCAAUAAUAAUAAGAAGAAUAUCAUACAAUCCUAAGGUUAGCAGAUACCUCUAAGGAUCAUCCAGUUCAACUUCCUUAUAUCAUGCAGUUGGACACAAUCCAACCACUCCUGACAGAUGGCCAUCCAAUAUCUGCACAAUAAUAAUACACAUCGAAUCAUAGCAUCAGACAGUUAAGAAACACCCCUAAAGGCCAUCCAGUCCAACCCAAUUCUGCCAUGCAGGACACAAUCCAAGUACUCCCAACAGAUGGCCACCCAGCCUCUCAAUACUAAUACUAAUAAUAAUAAAAAUAACAACAACAUCAUACAAUCCUAAGGUUUGGAGUGACCCCUAAGGAUCAUCCAGAUCAACUUCCUUCUACCAUGCAGGAGGACACAAUCCAAGCACUCCUGACAGAUGGCCAUCCAGCCUC